rnacentral:rRNA from 1 species
AAUGGCCGGGACAAAGGUUCUAAUCCUGCAAUGGUGAGCUAACCCCAAAAACUCAUCCUUAGUUUGGAUUGCAAGCUACAACUCACCUGCAUGAAG